GGAGUAUAGAGGAGUAUAGAGGAGUAUUUAAUAUGGAGAAGGGAGUAUAGAGGUGUAUUUAAUAUGAAGAGAGGAGUAUAGAGGAGUAUUUAAUAUGAAGAGAGG